rnacentral:tRNA from 1 species
GCCCCUGUGGCGGAACUGGUAGACGCGCGGGAUUCAAAAUCCCGUUCUCGCAAGGGAGUGCCGGUUCGAUUCCGGCUGGGGGCACCA